GAAUCCACCAAAGCGAUGGUUAUGGAGAAGCCUAGUCCCCUGCUGGUCUGACGGGAGUUUGUGCGACAGUACUACACCCUGCUGAACCAGGCCCCGGACAUGCUGCACAGAUUUUAUGGAAAGAACUCUUCCUAUGCCCACGGGGGCCUGGAUUCCAAAGGGAAGCCAGCAGAUGCAGUCUACGGGCAGAAGGAAAUCCAUAGGAAAGUGAUGUCACAAAACUUCACCAACUGCCACACCAAGAUCCGCCACGUGGACGCUCACGAAACUCUGAAUGAGGGGGUGGUGAUCCAAGCGAUGGGGCUACUGUCCAACAACAACCAGGCUCUGCGGAGGUUCAUGCAGACCUUUGUCCUUGCUCCUGAGGGCUCUGUUGCCAACAAAUUCUAUGUUCACAACGACAUCUUCAGAUACCAAGAUGAGGUCUUUGGUGGCUUUGCCACAGAGCCUCAAGAGGAAUCCGAGGAAGAAGUAGAAGAACCUGAAGAAAGACAGCAGACAUCAGAGGUGGUGCCUGAUGAUUCUGGAACUUUCUAUGAUCAGACUGUCAGCAAUGACUUGAAGGAGCAUUUAGAGGAGCCUGUAGUGGAACCAGAACCGGAGCUGGAGCCGGAACCUGUGUCCGACAUUUAAGAGGACAAGCCUGAGGCUGCAUUGGAAGAAGCUGCCCCCGACGAUGUGCAGAAGAGCACUUCCCCGGCCCCGGCAGACGUGGCCCCGGCACAGGAGGACUUGAGGGCAUUUUCUUGGGCAUCUGUGACGAGUAAGAACCGUCCUCCCAGUGGGGCUGUCCCAGUGACGGGGACACCACCUCAUGUGGGCAAAGUGCCAACGUCACAGCCCCGUCCAGAAUCUAAACCUGACUCUCAGAUCCCACCACAAAGGCCUCAGAGAGAUCAGAGAGUUCGAGAGCAGCGAAUCAAUAUCCCUCCUCAGAGAGGACCCCGACCAAUCCGUGAGGCUGGUGAACCAGGAGAUGUGGAACCUUGAAGGAUGGUGAGGCACUGUGACAGUCACCAGCUCUUCAUUGGGAACCUGCCACAUGAGGUUGACAAGUCGGAACUGAAGGAUUUUUUCCAAAAUUUUGGCAAUGUGGUGGAGCUGNGCAUCAACAGUGGUGGGAAGUUACCCAAUUUCGGUUUUGUUGUGUUUGAUGAUUCUGAACCUGUUCAGAAGGUCCUUAAUAAUAGGCCCAUCAUGUUCCGAGGCACGGUCCGCCUGAAUGUGGAAGAGAAGACUCGAGCUGCCAGAGAAGGUGACCGCAGGGAUAACCGUCUUCGGGGACCUGGAGGCCCCCGUGGUGGGCCAAGUGAUGGGAUGAGAGGCCCUCCCCGUGGAGGCAUGGUGCAGAAACCAGGCUUUGGCGUGGGCAGGGGAUUACAACUCCAAGGCAGUGAAUUGCUUGGCUCAGAUCUCCACACAGCACACAGCCCCGGCUCCUGCAGAAUGGUGAAUUCCUUCAACCAGCGUUUGGUGUCUCGGAAUAGUCUAUUAUAAACUGCUUAAGUUUGUACAAUUUUCGUUUCGCUUGUGUUCAUGGUGUGUGCUCCCAACCCCCUUUCCUCCCCUGACCCCUUAGUCCUUCAUUCCCAGUUUUCCGGAAUGAU